ACUCCAGUAGUGGCGGAAUAGGUAGACGCAAGGGACUUAAAAUCCCUCGAACGUUAGUUCGUGCUGGUUCAAGUCCAGUUCUGGGUACCA
rnacentral:tRNA from 1 species